rnacentral:rRNA from 1 species
UACGUAGGUGACAAGCGUUGUCCGGAUUUACUGGGCGUAAAGAGCGCGCAGGCGGUCGAUCAAGUCGAGUGUGAAAGCCCCCGGCUCAACUGGGGAGGGUCAUUCGAAACGUGGUCGACUCGAAGGCAGGAGAGGGUAGUGGAAUUCCCGGUGUAGUGGUGAAAUGCGUAGAUAUCGGGAGGAACACCAGUGGCGAAGGCGACUACCUGGCCUGUUUCUUGACGCUGAGGCGCGAAAGCUAGGGGAGCAAACGGG